rnacentral:ribozyme from 1 species
UUUCUGCUCUUUCUCAAGAUGACUUCCGCCAUGUUCGUGGAUAACAUGUUCCUU